CUAUUGUACUUAAAAUUAAUUAAAUGUUAGCAUGGUCCCAAUUAACAUUCCAUUAACAACAAAAAUGCCUUGAUUGUCAAUACUGAGCAAAAUCUGUGACAAUCCACCACUUACAUUGUGCAGCAUAUGUUAGUUAACACUUGGAGUCCUAACCUUUUUCCAAAUGAAAUGGAUGAUCUGGUCAAAAUGUGAGGCCACAUUUAAAGCCAUUGAAAAUAUUGGGAUUUUUGACUCUGACUUGAGAUAAGCAGGGAAAAUAAAAGUUUGUCCACCCAGAAAGAGUUGCCUAUCUUUUUCUGACUAUGUUUUGCUAGACCAAGAUUUAGUAUCUCUAGAUGAUAAGCACUUUAUAUUUGGGAUCUCUCUAUUUUACUCAGUAUUUUGUAUUAUUUUUGUCUCUUUCAUCUCUAAAGCAUCUCAUUCCCUUCGAUCUUGAAUAUUCCUUUACCUAAAUGGCUAUUUAUUGUAUUAUAAAUUCCAAGCCACAUCUUUCAUUUUUCACUCAAACUUCUGUUUUUUUAGACUCAUCUAAGUAGGUUAUGUGAGUAUAUUUUUUAUGCAAACAUUGUCUAUCCAUGCUCACAUUGAUAAGCAUUCAAAUUAUUUCCAACUCUUUGUUUUUUAUAAGCAAUGUUGGAGAUCUUUGUGUAUCUGGAUUUGGGUAUGUUGGGGCCCAAGGCAGACUACCCCAAAAUGUGCCUCAAGGGCAUAUUAAUUAUUCUGAAUUAAAGUUACUUAAGGAAAAGCCAAUAUAAAAGGAAUACUCUGACACUCCUUCCUGAUUCCCUGGAAGCAGGAAAUAAAUUUCUCAGGUGAGGAGUUCCCAUCGUGGCUCAGCAAUUAACAAAUCUGACUAGCAUCCAUCAGGUCGCAGGUUCCAUCCCUGGCCUCUCUCUGUGGGUUAAGGAUCUGGCAUUGCCGUGAGCUGUGGUGUAGGUUGCAGAUGUGGCUUGGAUCUGGUGUUGCUUUGGAUGUAGCGUAGGUGGACAGCUACAGCUCCGAUUCAACCCCUAGCCUGGGAACCUUCAUAUGCCAUGGGUGCAGCCCUAAAAAGCAAUAAAUAAAUAAAGAGUAAAAUAAGUAAAUAAAUAAACUUCUCAGGUGAAAGAUGCACUUCCUGCAUCUGGAUGUAAAAGGACACCCUUGUUGUCUAAGAUCGGGAAAUCAGGGCUAAAAUACAAACCUUGUAAAUUACUUCUUUCAUUGAUUAUCCCAAGCCCAACUCUGUUUAAAUUCUUCACUAACAGGCCACCCCAAACCUAAGUUUCUUUGUCCUGUGAAUUCCUCACAAACUAAUGGUUUAUUUGUCUAAAAAGUGUAAAAGCUGCCUGCUUGACCACUCUUAGGUCCCAUUUCUAUGAGACCUCCACGCACAUGAAUGAAAAUUUGUUUAGUUUUUUCUUCUUAAUCUGUUUUGGGUCAAAUUUAUUCUCAGGCCAGCCAUAGGAACUCAAGAGAGGUAGAGGGGAAAUAUACCCCCUUCGCAACAGUUACCUAUCUGAGAUAUAUUUCUAGCAAAGCAAUCUUGGGUCAUAGGGUGAGUACAAGCUGCGCUCUAGAAUUGAUCAUAUCUUGCAUUGGAGGAAACGGAGGUCUGGAGAGGUUAAGCAAUUUUUCAAGGUCAAGUUUCUGGCUAGGCUUGAUCUCAGAUUUUCUGAAUCUUAGUGUUCAUUUCACAAUAUGAUGUCAUGUCAGUUUCUCUGGAAUUUUCUAAGCAAAGUUUCUUUAGUAUGAUAGCUUCAUUGCAUUCUAGCUUGGAAUCAUCCUUGUUAGGGUCAUGUUAGGAGCCAACAUUCUAUAUCUAAGUAAUGGCUGACACAGAGACUAUGCAACUGUUAUCAGGCAAUGGGAUUGGGAAUUUAGGUUUAAACUGUCCUUUUCAAAAUAGAUGUGUUUUUGGAGUUCCCUGGUGGCCUAGCUGUUAAAGGAUUGGGUGUCGUCCCUGCUAUGGCUUGGUUCACUGCUGUGGUGUAAGUGUGAUCCCUGGCCUAGAAACUUCUGCAUGCUGUGAGCAUGGCCAAGCAAAAAGGAAAAAAAAAUCUGCUUUGGUUAUUAGGCAAAGACCUAUAAAACCUAUAAGACCUAUAAAACCAGUCAAGUAUUUUAGAAUAGGUGAUAGAGAUAUAAUAAUUAUCAAUCUGAGAUUUCACAGUUCUUCUCCCAAAAGGCGGCAAAACACUGCUUUAGUGAUAAAAGAAAACAUAGAAUCCCACACUUAUCUUUAUAAGUAAGCUUGCCCUGAAGGACGUGUAUGUGUGUCUUUGAGAGAUAUAAGAUGAUAUAAAUCUCCUAAACUUGUAAGUUGUCUUUGGAACUUUCUAUUUCUUUUGGGCAUUUGGAGAUGGUUCAACUGCUAAAAUACCAUCCCUGGAUACAUGAUUCUCCUUCCCUGUGUCUGUCCUCUGCCUCAAUUCACAUGAAUUCCUUAAGGGUUAAUUGAGUAACUGCUGAAUCCAAAAACAAUAUGCAUUCCUGGUCCAGAUAGAGGGAGAUAAGUAGAGUCUGAGACUGAGCCAAGUACUGUGGGUAACCAGAGGAAAAGGCCACUGAAUCAGUGAGUGCGUGGUGAGCAGGGAGGUCCUUUAACAGAUAUGUGGGAGGUGGUCAGGCAUAGGAAAGAAGGAAGGAUCCUAAGUACAGGAGACUCAGGCCCUUCACCUUCCUCCUGUACUCCCACCCCCACAGUAGCCAUGUUCAGAAAUAAUCCAGCAUCCCUGAGGGAAGAGGAACAAAUGUUCUACAUUGCACCAUGCUAAGCAUCCCCCUCCAGUCCUUGUGCCUGUGAAAUGCAUUUCACGCCUCAUCUGUUCCCUAAAUGAGAUGUGAAAGCAGUUUACACCUCGUUUACAUUUGUGCUGUUUUACCAAGCAGCAUAGACACAGCUCCAUCCAAAGUAAAGAAAUGAGGUCAGUCACCCUGUCUCUCCUUGGCUGGAAUCCACCCAACUCUUCAGAUCCUCCCAGGCAACAAGGCAUCUACCAAGUGUUGGGAGAGCCAGUGGGAGAAAGGUUAUAGGGAGUAACGGGUAUUCAGAUGCUUUUAGGUGAGGGAAAUGGCUUUUCUUGCCAGCCAGUAGUACUAUAUUAAGUAUAAUUUUCUUAAGUAGAAUGCAGAAAUUACAAAUGUACACUUAGAAGAGCUUUCACAUAUACCUGUGUAACCAACACCUAGAUCAAGAUAUACAACACUUCUCUCACUCCUGGAAAUUCUCUCAUGUUCCUUCGCAUCCAAUGACCCACCACCAUGGGUGUAUUGUACCUAUUCUACAGCUUAAUAUACGUGAAAGCAUAUUGUGUGUAUUGACUUCUUUUGCUCAGAUAAUAUCUAUGACGUUAAUGCAUGUUGCUGUGUAUAUCAGUAGCUCAUUCCUUUCAGUUGUUGAAUAGUAUUCCUUAUUUGAAUAAAAUAGUUUAGUCAUUUUCCUGUGGAUGGACAUUAGGUGGUAUUCCUUUUUUGUCUAUUAUAAAUAAGACUGCUAUGAAUAUCCUUGCACAAAGUUUUAGGGACAUAUAUACUCAUUUCUCUUGGGAGUACAGCUAGGACUUUCUGGGUUGUAGUGUAGAUGAAGUUUAACUUUGUUCAAAACUGCCAAAUAGUUCUCUGAGAUGAUUGAACCAUUUUACACUCCCACUGGUGGUGUUUGGAAAUUCUGGUUUGCUUUUGUUGAUUCAAGAUAAUGAAAUAGUGUUGGCAGUCACUGUAAAGUAGCUUAAAUUCAUUUAAG
rnacentral:lncRNA from 1 species